rnacentral:rRNA from 1 species
UACGGGGGGGGCAAGCGUUGUUCGGAAUUACUGGGCGUAAAGGGCUCGUAGGCGGCCAACUAAGUCAGACGUGAAAUCCCUCGGCUUAACCGGGGAACUGCAUCUGAUACUGGAUGGCUUGAGUUCGGGAGAGGGAUGUGGAAUUCCAGGUGUAGCGGUGAAAUGCGUAGAUAUCGGAAGGAACACCUGUGGCGAAAGCGGCUCACUGGACCAUAACUGACGCUGAGGCACGAAAGCUAGGGGAGCAAACAGU